AGGAGCGUGUGCGGGAACCUCGCAGCCACCGGCCGGGCACCCAGCCUGCUCACUCGGCAGGACAGACCUGGCGUUCUUGUCCCAGCCGGGUCCUCAGCACUCAUUCUUUCGCCCCCUCUGCCAAGCCCCCCUUCUUGGAACCCGGGCCCGCGGCCCCACAGCUAUACAGCUUUACACAAAGGGGGUACCACACGGCAGUUUCCAAACCCCCGGCUCCUUCCAAUCUCUGUGUCUUCUCUCUCUCUCUCUCUCUCUGCUUCACCUCUUCUGGGUAAUUAAAUGGAAAGAGCCUAGAAACCCCCUUCUAAUCAAUAAUUCAAAAUGUUGGUCUCCAGUGACAUUUUUUCUCAUUACAGUUCUCCGGGUCAGGCAUUCAUGAAUUCUCCAGGAUGGAGGUCCCCGCUGGGAUCUGGAAGUACAAUUAACACCGUCUUUGGCUAGAAGUGACCAGGUGAACGUGUCGGCCGGUGAGGUGCAAACAGAAGUCUACUGUGUGAGGCCUCAGGGAAAACGAAGCCCACUCAGCCGGCCUAUGCCUGUGCCCAGCCUGGAAUGUGAAAGUGAUGGCUGGAAGAGGAGCAGCCAUUUUGCAACCAUGAGGAUAAAACUCACACAUUAAGAAUGACACAGCAGAGAGCCAAAAAACGAACAAAACCCCAGACACAGCUGUGCUGGUCCUGAAUAGACUUCUUCAGGAUUCCUGUCAUUUGUGAAAAACGAAUUCCGUUGUAGUUAAGCCA